CUGGGUUGAUAGGCCGGAAAUGGAAGCCCAGUAAUGGGUGGAGUUGACCGGUACUAAUAGGCCGAGGGCUUGCUAC
rnacentral:rRNA from 1 species